UGUAAUCUCCUUUCCCCUCUCGCACGCUCUCUCCUCACCUACUCUGUUCUUCCCCUUACCCCUCUUGUUCUUCCUCGAUUCCUCAUCUCCUCUAGUUCGGGCCCUGACAAAAUCCACGUCUAGACAGGACUGGGCAACAUCUGAAAUUCAUGAUCGCUGCAGAGGACUGCAGUCUGCAGCUGAGCUUCUUAAGGUAAUCGCUGCAGAGGACUGCAGUUGAGCUUCUUGAGGUAAUCGCUUCAGUGGUCUGCAGCUGAGCUUUCUUCAGGUAAUCCCAUUGCCAGCGAAAUAUCCGAUGCAUGAUUGCUGUCUUUAGUUAAUCAUGCUGCUUCUUUAUCGUGUCAUUUUUUUGUGCCAGCGAAAUAUCUUCUCCUGCAUGCAUGAUUGCUGUCUUUAGUUACAGGACAUGCUGCUUCUUUAUCGUGUUCAGGACGCUUUGGACCAAUCAUCCACACAGUGUCAUCUUUGAUUCAAAGAAAUCCCAUUGGAAUUCUGAGAAGUGGGCUUCUUUUAAAUGUUUUCGUAUAAGAACCUUUUUUCAUUCAAAGGAAUUAUAUGGAAUUUUGGAGGAUUCUGUUCUUUGGGAUUUCCCCCCUAUAAAGCUUGUCUGAUUUGUUGGACUGAGAACCAUAUGAAUUUCACGCGCAAUUCAAAAGAAGAAUAUUUAUUGAGUCUAACCUCGUGUAUUUGUUCCAUUCAAAAGUGACAUGUUAAGAGUUUGUGACAUGUCUCAUGCUAAAGUGUAGCGCUGUCUAAUGUUUUCCUAAAAGUGUAGUAUAGUAAUAGUAUUGAAAAAGAAGUGUAUUGUCAUGAGCGAUGAGAAUCUAAGAGCCAGAUCUAAUAGACUCAUGAAGAAUGCAUUUUUUCUUGUUUUAAGGGUAUUGUGUUUGUAACUGCAAAUGGAUCACCGAACUAUUACCUCACAAAAAGUUUUUUUUCUUUUCGAAAAGGGUUUAUCCCCUGCCUCUGCAUCAGAGUGAUGCAUACGGCCAAUUACCUCACAAAACAAAAAGUACUGCAGCGUAUUCUAUUUGAUGAAAGCGCAGAACCAAAGGCCCUAUCGUUAUCACUUCUGGAGCACAUCACCAACAGUUUCUCUGAUGACAAAGAAAUUGGCUGUGGUGGCUUUGCAAGGGUUUAUAAGCAUGUUGCUGUUAUAGGGAAUGCUUGACAAUGGCACUGUUGCUGUGAAGAAGCUUUGCGAUAUGCUUGAUAUGGAUGAGAAGAAAUUCAGCGAAGAAAUUCGUUGUCUGAUGAAGGCGACGCACAAAAAUGUAGUACGGUUCCUAGGAUAUUGCUCUGACAGACAAGGGGAAAUGGUAAACUGCAAGGGAAAACUUGUCUUAGCAGAUGUACGACAAAGGCUACUCUGCUUUGAAUAUCUACCUAAAGGCAGUCUAGAUAAGCACAUCACCGGUAGGCUGAUGUCGCAUGUAUUUGGUUCAAACAUCCAUUUAUUUAGUGUUUAGUGACUACUGACGACUUCAAGUUUCUCAAAUACUAAACCAACUUUCUGCUCUCCGUUUUCUAGAUGUAUCUUGUGGACUUGAAUGGAGAAAGCGCUACCAAAUCAUCAAUGGAAUUUGUGAUGGUUUAUAUUAUCUGCACCAAAAUCACAUCGUUCACUUGGAUCUUAAGCCGGCAAAUAUACUGCUAGAUGAUACUAUGUUGCCGAAAAUUGCUGAUUUUGGUCUAUCGAGGUGCU